rnacentral:rRNA from 1 species
AUUGAACGCAGGCGGCAUGCCUUACACAUGCAGGUCGAACGGCAGCACGGGAGCAAUCCUGGUGGCGAGUGGCGAACGGGUGAGUAAUAUAUCGGAACGUGCCCAGUCGUGGGGGAUAACGUAGCGAAAGCUACGCUAAUACCGCAUACGAUCUAUGGAUGAAAGCGGGGGAUCGCAAGACCUCGCGCGAUUGGAGCGGCCGAUAUCAGAUUAGCUAGUUGGUGGGGUAAAGGCCCACCAAGGCGAAGAUCUGUAGCUGGUCUGAGAGGACGAACAGCCACCCUGGGACUGGGACACGGACCAGACUCCUACGGGAGGCCGCAGUGGGAGAUUUUGGACAAUGGGCGCAAGCCUGAUCCAGCAAUGCCGCGUGCAGGACGAAGGCCUUCGGGUUGUAAACUGCUUUUGUACGGAACGAAACGGCCCCUUCUAAUACAGGGGGCUAAUGACGGUACCGUAAGAAUAAGCACCGGCUAACUACGUGCCAGCAGCCGCCGUAA